CAAGGGACUUAAAUUAAAUUGAGCACCUUAGGCGAAAUCUUAGGGUGAAUGGAGUCUAAUUCGGUGAAACCUGUUAAAUGGCAACCCCGAGCUAAGCUUAGUGUCAAUAAACAUUAAGAAAGUGUAGAGACCAUACGGCUCCUGCCUGACUGCUUAAAUUAAGUAAAAGGCAAAGAUAGGGUCCAGACCACAAACAUCUAA
rnacentral:ncRNA from 1 species